rnacentral:rRNA from 1 species
ACUGGUGUCAGCCGCCGCGGUAAUACCAGCUCUCCGAGUGGUAGGGACGAUUAUUGGGCCUAAAGCGUUCGUAGCCGGCUUGGCAAGUCUCUCGUUAAAUCCAGUGACCUAAUCGUUGAGCCGCGGGAGAUACUGUCAGGCUUGGGAGCGGAAGAGGUCGACGGUAUUCUCGGGGUAGGGGUGAAAUCCUGUAAUCCCGGGAGGACCACCAGUGGCGAAGACUGUCGACUAGAACGCAUCCGACGGUGAGGGACGAAAGCUGGGGGAGCGAACCGGAUUAGAUACCCGGGUAGUCCCAGCUGUAAACUAUGCGGGCUAGGUGUCAGUGUGGCUACGAGCCACUCUGGUGCCCCAGGGAAGCCGUUAA